rnacentral:rRNA from 1 species
GCCCUAAGAAUGUCGACUUGGAGGUUGUGCCCUUGAGGCGUGGCUUCCGGAGCUAACGCGUUAAGUCGACCGCCUGGGGAGUACGGCCGCAAGGUUAAAACUCAAAUGAAUUGACGGGGGCCCGCACAAGCGGUGGAGCAUGUGGUUUAAUUCGAUGCAACGCGAAGAACCUUACCUGGUCUUGACACCCACGGAAGUUUUCAGAGAUGAGAAUGUGCCUUCGGGAACCGUGAGACAGGUGCUGCAUGGCUGUCGUCAGCUCGUGUUGUGAAAUGUUGGGUUAAGUCCCGCAACGAGCGCAACCCUUAUCCUUUGUUGCCAGCGGUCCGGCCGGGAACUCAAAGGAGACUGCCAGUGAUAAACUGGAGGAAGGUGGGGAUGACGUCAAGUCAUCAUGGCCCUUACGACCAGGGCUACACACGUGCUACAAUGGCACAUACAAAGAGAAGCGACCUCGCGAGAGCAAGCGGACCUCAUAAAGUGCGUCGUAGUCCGGAUUGGAGUCUGCAACUCGACUCCAUGAAGUCGGAAUCGCUAGUAAUCGUGGAUCAGAAUGCCACGGUGAAUACGUUCCCGGGCCUUGUACACACCGCCCGUCACACCACGGGAGUGGGUUGCAAAAGAAGUAGGUAGCUUAACCUUCGGGAGGGCGCUUACCACUUUGUGAUUCAUGACUGGGGUGAAGUCGUCAUCGAGUAUCCGAUU